UUGCGGGUUCCUCACACUGGCGGGAUUUGGAGCCUCUACCCUGGUGGCAGUGGGUUUAGUGGGUUACUCUGGUGGCGUAGUGGUUAAGUGCUAAGGCUGCUAGCCAAAAGGUUGGCAGUUUGAAUCCACCAGGCGCUCCUUGGAAACUCUGUGGGGCAGUUCUACUCUGUCCUAUAGGGUCGCUAUGAGUCAGAAUUGACUCGAUGGCAAUGGGUGUGUUUUGUUUUUUUUUUAGGUUGGAGGAGAUUAGGUGUCUCUCGGGCUGACAUUUGAAGGUCUGGAGCUGGUCGUUUAUGAGGGUUUCUAAGGGUUUUAAGCGCUCCGGCCAUGGGCACCAACCCGAUCUUCCAGCCCCUGCGGACGGACCGCUCCCCCCCGCCCCGGGGGGAUUGGCUGCUCUGGGACCCCGAGCCCAGAGGGCGGUGAGAAGCUGACAAACCUUAAAUACGGACCAGAAGAGGAGUUUGGGGCUUGACACCUGACAUCUUAACACCAGUUCCUGUUUCUUGAGGAAGGAAGAGGUAAAAUAAAUCAGCGUUUACUGUGUCCUUCUCCAUCCCCGGAAGUCUUCAUGAAGACCCUCUCAGCUUCAACUUGAACGUGAAUAUGAGCAACUGAUCAUCUGUUCUGCAGUCAGCCCCUGGCCUGAUUCUGACUCAUGAUAUUGACCUUCUCCAUCGUCACCUUCCACAAAUUUGAUUCCUGUCUAUUCUGCCUGGAAUAGUUCACGAGUAUAGUCACCAUUUAUGUUCCUGACGAAAGCAGGAGAAGGCUUCGUGGAGAGAGGCGGAUUCCAUGUGUGCAGGCAAAGUGUGUGCUGAGAUGAUGAGUCGCUGGAGACCAGGGUGGACUCUUCAGACCCAGGAUAGGCCUCUGGCAGGUAUGUGUCAAUAUUUUCUGCCCAUGGCACUCACCCGGGUAUUUGCAUACAAUGUUAUCAGCGGAAUUAGUAGUCUCCAGAGAGGCUGCCACAUGUCAGCAAGCUUCACCCGUCAGGGUCCGCCCAUGAUGUAGCUCCCCAAUCAAUCACUACUCUCUAGACCUUCCAGAUAGACUAGCAGAUCUUCUCUGCCCAUGGGCAACCAGUAGAGCCAGAGGCCUUCUCCCUUUGCUCUUUCGUCUCUAGGUACUCUGUCAGGCACUCCAAGCUGUGAAGUGCCUGGGGGGGAGAAGGAAGAGAUUUCAGAGAAUGAACACAUACAGAGAGAGACACAUAGAGAGAGGCAAGAGAUGCUGAGUGGGGAUGCCUUGCGUACUGAUAUCCUGAGGAAGGUGGGAAAAUUGGACCCUGGCCUGCUCUGCCAAUGCCCUGAAGCAGUCCGCACCAGGGGCUCCCUUGUGCCUGCGUAGCCUUUCCCAGGGUGUGCUCAAAUUCUGUGGCCACUAGGUGUCCUAGGUCACAAUGGAAGGCCCUGUGUCAUCUGCCUGGUGGGCUGGAUCUCUGCCAUUGGCUGAGUCUUGUCACCAGGCCCAUCAUAAGCUCCGCCCACUCUUCCUGUGGGGGGACUCUCUCCAUGGUGAUAGCAAAGAAGCCUGAGUCCCGCCCACCUGGCCUUCACUUCACCUAGCUGGCCUGCUGACCCUCACUCAGACCUCUGUGUUGAUCAAAAUGAAUGUCCGCCAGUGGCCAGGUGUCAGCAUCUGGUAUAAAGGAUUCAGGACCUUGCCUGAGGCAGAAGGC